AUGGCUGCCGCCCUCCAGCCGCAGGACAGCGCCGCCUCCCUCCGUUCGGCCUCCUGCCCUAGUCCCCUACAUCAGCCCCGGAGAUCGCCGCCGUCGGGAAUCGCUAGGUCCGGCGACCCCUCAUCCAGCGCGUCUUCUCCUUCUUCGCCGGAGCCCCGGGCUCACCGGAGCGCUGCCAGCAGCAGGUCGCUGCCUCCCUUUCCCUUCGCAGGAGCCCCGGGCUCACCGGAGCGCCGCCAGCAGCAGGUCGCUGCCUCCCUUUCCCUUCGCCGGAGCCCCGGGCCACGAGCGCCACCAGCAGCAGUUCCGGCCGUCCCCGUCACCGAGUUCCUCACCGGCCUUCCUUACCUCGUCUCCGGCCCUGCCCGUCGGAGCCACGCCUCCCGGUGCCCGCAGCUGCGUCGCCGGUCUUCUGCCUCGACCCGGCAUCGUUCCCUUUGGCAACCGCAUAGGUGCAACGCCAUAAGUUUUGCCUCUGUACACCCGUGUGGUGUUGACCGUGGAGUUCCACCAGCUGCUAGUUCACUCCGUUGCUUCCUCCCUGAAUGGUUUCGCCAAGUGCCUUCCGGCGUGACCAAGACCGCGAGCACCACAGAUCCACCAAGUACCUCGACGCCAUGCCUAAAACGACCACUGAACCGGAAAUAA
rnacentral:rRNA from 1 species